UACAGAGGGGGCAAGCGUUGUUCGGAAUUACUGGGCGUAAAGGGCGCGUAGGCGGCCCGCUAAGUCGAACGUGAAAUCCCCGAGCUCAACUCGGGAACUGCGUCCGAUACUGGAAGGCUUGAAUCCGGGAGAGGGAUGUGGAAUUCCAGGUGUAGCGGUGAAAUUCGUAGAUAUUUAGGAAGAACACCGGUGGCGAAGGCGGCGUUCUGGACUGCAACUGACACUGAGGAAACGAAAGCCAGGGGAGCAAACGGG
rnacentral:rRNA from 1 species